ACCUCACCUUAAAAGUUCUCCCCAAUAGGGAAAUUUAAACAUUUGACAAGUUAAUUUAUUUUUGUUAUAAACUUUUCAUCAUGUAUUUUACCUACUGGUAUGCUUUUGCUGUGCAGAUGCUGCUGCUAAGCUCCGCAUACGUUAUAUACUUCCAGUGCACGCUGCUUAGAGGAUUGGAGCCGCAGAAGACAUUGUUGACAGAGCCUCCAGCCAAUCGUUUGGUCAUCUUCAUCGUUGAUGGACUCACUGUGAAAGCCUUCUUCGAGCAACGCUGCAGGCAUGUUCCGCAGUUGAGGCAGAUAUUUAUGCGUCAGGGCUUGGUUGGUAUUAGUCGUGGACGUGUGGCUAAGAAAGGAAAUGCAGCCCAAUUGACAUAUUUCUCUGGUUGCUAUGAGGAUUAUCUGGCUGCAAUGCAUGGCAUGGCCAUCGAUACAAUCUUCAAUCGGAGCCGAAGCACCUUUGCCUGGAGCUCAGCGGAAAUGGAAGGUCAUUUUGAGUCUGCUAACGUUAUGGGCUUGGUCAUGCUGGACGAGUGGACAUUUAGUGCAGUAAGGAGUUUUGUCAUAUACGAAUCCUUCCAGAUGCAGAAUCUCACGGGUGUGGUGUUCUACGUCCAACUGCAAGAUCUGCAAGUAUCCAAGGGAUAUCGAACAUAUCUGGAGCAAUUUAACAAAACACAACAUGAAAUUUUGACUACUUACAACGUAUUUGAACGUACCUUUCGGGAUCAACGCACUGCAUAUUUGCUGACCUCCAAUAAUUUCAGAUCAUCAGGUGAUGUCAAAGCCAACAGCAAGGAGGGGGAGGUGCAGAUGCCAUUUGUAUUAUGGGGCGCAGGUGUGGCACAUACCUCAACAAAACUGGGUCGCAGCUUUAUAGCCAAUGAAAAGGGGCAACGCCUACCACUGCACGUCCUGGACGCCAAGCAGUUAGCAUCAGUGAUGAGCGGUCUAUUGGGCCUGCCGCCACCAGUGCACAAUCGUGGUCAGUUGCCAACGGGUUUGCUGAACUCCACCAACCAUGAAGCACAUGCCAUGUACAUGAAUGCGUUACAAUUUGUGAACCAGGCUAAAUUGGCAUUAGCCCAACAUCAACGUGGUCUCUUGGCCAACUUUUUGCCCAGCCAUUGGCUAAACGACGUCCAUCUGCAAAAAUUCGUCUCCGACGCCAAUUUGUUCUGGAUUCAGCAGCGCUACACUGCACUCAUAGAGCACUGUGGUAGUUAUAUGCCCAUGCUGUUGGAGUGCAUCGAUUACUAUGUCCACUACUAUCGCCAAGCGCUGCUGUGGGCCAGCGCCUCCGCCUUCCUCGGCUGGCUGCAUCAAUUGCGUGGCACGACAGCCACAUCAAAAAGCACCCUCAAUCUGCUGUUCGAGGCGUUGUGGCGCCUGUUGUUUUAUCUGCUGAUCAUAUUUGUGCUGCUGCAACGUGUGCCAUGGCUCGUUAGUGGAGUGCUAUUGCUACCGACGCUUCUUUGGAACUUCAAGAGCGAAUUUAACGAGGAUCAUUUUAUAUCCUCUCGCCAGCUUAUUAUAUUCAUGCUGUUCUCCGUUUGCUGUUUCGCCGGCUUCUUCUUUCGACGCUUCAUAGGACUCAUCUACUUUGGAUUUGCCUGCUACCACAAUCGCAUCGCCUUUGUGCAGCGUUCGUCAAGCUGUUUCAUCUGGUUUACGAUUCUCUGUGCGCUCACAGCCCUGUCGUGGCGGCCUCCAGCGCUGGGCUAUUGGCAACGCAAUUGGCUGCUCGUCAGCCUAUUUAUCACGUCUAUCCGGCCUUUCAUCUGCACCUCGCAGCAGCUAUCGCAGCGAUCUUCCAUUUGCAAUGGGCUGGUACUGUUCCUAGCUGGACUGCAUGUCUUAUUUAGCUCGCAGGCACGUUGCCUUCAGCUGAUUGCCCGUGCAUUUACGUGUUAUGUGUUUAUCCCGCGAAAACGACAAGAUGCAUCAAAACAGUUCGUCUUCGAUUUGUGCACACUGUAUGCAUUGCUUUCCACGUCCUACGAAUCCCUAAUCAUACAACUGCUGGCCAUGGAACUACAAUUGUCGCUACGCCUUAAGCAACAUUUCGGAACGGACGUUAAUCGGAAAUGUACACUGGCAAUGUAUAUGCUAAUUUAUAGCUCUUACUCUCUCUUUGUCAUUGGUAACAUUGAGGCAGUAGAUGGAUUUCGCUUCUAUAUGCAUUUCACGGGCUUUGGAUUCUAUUCGACGCUCAUCAAUGGAAUUCUGAUCGCAAUUAAGCUUCUGUUGCCGAUCUUCCUGCUCCUGUGUAUAAUUUGUGAAAAUUGUAACAUGGCAUGGCAAUAUCGACGUCAGAUCUUCUUCAGACUACUCAUCAUGUGCAAUUUCAUGGCGUUAAUUGCCCUUUUUCGAAUACGAUCUGAAAUCAUCUCUUGGCAGGACUCGGUUGGUGUUAUCCAUUUUUGUAUUGUGCAAGUAUUGCCGUUUUUAUUGUUGCUACUGUGCCAUCUGGCGCAUUUUAUGCUAGGCAAGCAUGGAAACAGAACAUUAGAACUACCAAAGUGGAAUGUGCACACCUUUUAAAGAUACAUUUUCCAGAAAAUUCAUCUCAAUGCUUUGAAUGCACGCGCAAAAUAAACUGUUAAUGCUCCUCACAGAAUAGACUAAUGUUAAGUUUACUAAACACCUGCGUCUGUAUAAUCGGAAUCUAUGCAACCCUGUUUUCGCACAAAGACCAACGAUAUGUCAUCGCUAAGUCCUCGGCUGUUCACAUCGCGCAAUACACGUAGCUCCCCAGAAUAAUAUUUUUUGUGCAAUUUUUGCUUAAAGCACGUUAAAAUAUCAAUAAUUUGUGUGCCAAAAAAGCAAACGGUGUUAUUAAACACAUUACAAACAGUCAUCAACGAAUAAAGAAGUAAAUGGGAAAACAAAAACAAAUGUCAUUCCGAUGGCUACCUCACCCUUUCCAGUUUGUAUAGAAAAUAAACAAAAUCCAAUUGGAAAAUAGUGUUUCCACUAACACAAUAAAUGCAACACAUUUGUGCGGGCGCAAAGUGUGUGCGUGAGUGUGAAACAAAACGAAUAACACAAGAAAGCAUAGAAAGUUAAACGUGAAAACAACUAUUGCGCAUUCCACGGAAGCAGUUCAGUAGCAAUAAGCAACAACAGCAACCAGCCAGAACAAGCAACUCAAAAGCAAUGUUUUCGAAGAAUGUUUGAUCGACUCGCCCAAAUGUGAAGACCGAAACAAAGCAUUUUCAAGUAAAUCAGACUAAAGAGAAAGAAUUGAAUUCGCUAUGCAUUUUAUGCCUAUCCUAGAAACUUACAAAGUAUUGAAUAGAACAAAGUAGUGAUAUAUGGUAUGGGGCAUCUACUUGUUGAGCACUCUCGUUUAAUUGCUUUAUUGUGGGCGUAUUUUAG